GGACGCGGGUGAAGGGGUUGUGAAGGCGCCGUACUAGGCUCUUGGCAGCCAGGCGAGGGAGAUGGCGGCGCGAUGGAGCAGCGAGAACGUGGUGGUGGAGUUCCGCGACUCCCAGGCAACUGCAAUGUCUGUGGACUGUCUCGGGCAGCAUGCAGUGCUUUCUGGCCGCAGAUUCUUAUACAUCGUCAAUCUAGACGCUCCUUUCGAAGGUCACCGGAAAAUCUCUCGCCAGAGCAAAUGGGACAUUGGAGCUGUGCAGUGGAAUCCACAUGACAGUUUCGCGCAUUAUUUUGCAGCUUCGAGUAACCAACGCGUCGACCUUUAUAAGUGGAAAGAUGGCAGUGGGGAAGUUGGCACGACCUUACAGGGUCAUACUCGUGUAAUCAGGUAGGCAUCAGCCCUCCCCACCUACUUGGAUUGUGUCGUUUUGUCAUAGUCCUUUGAUUAGUGAAAUGAAGAUGUCACCCUUCUCACAUGGCUUAACCCUUUGGUCCUUAGUGUUUACAAAGGUGCUGGCAAAGAACCUAGUAAAGGACAGCCAGUAUUUAGGAAGUGCAACCCAGGAAGCUGUUGACCCUCAUCCCAGAAGACUCAGAUAUAUCCCAGUCCAGAGUAAAGGAUUAAGGCUCCUUCUUGCCAAGAAAGGAGAGAAAGUUAUGCAAUAAAAUCCCCCAGUUCAGGAUCCUCAGUGGCCAGGGUUGCAAGGAGACGUUAGUGAGCAGCAGGUGACCAUUUGGACUCUUUCUUUCUGAGCAGCUCUUGCAUCAUAGUCUACUAUCCACAUGCACAGUUGUCUCCUUUACAGGGUCUUCUAGAGUGUUAUUUUUUUUUGGCAACGCUAGAAAUGGAACCCAGGGCCUCGCACAUGCUAGGCAAGUGCUAUACCACUGCACUACAUCCCAGAGUAUUUGUUGAUCCACUCUUCGUCUGGGUCACUGUUUCUGGUUUGGAAAAAUGUUUUCUAGGGAGUACUAACCCAGAGUGCAGGGCAGGUAAAGAUGACCUAGGAGUGACGGGAAAGGUUGAAUCCCUGGGUAUUGUGAAAUAUCCUAUAGAGUUAACUGUCUUGCUAGGACUGAAAGUAUGAGUAGGAAGGAACAGAGCUGCCAACCCUCCUGGAAAGUUGUGUGGCAACAUGACCCUUUGCUGCGGUUACGUGAGCAGGUGAUAGUAUAGCUGGCAACUACAAGAAGGACCCAGAAGUUUCCUUCUGAGCUCAGUUAACUCUUGUUCAUUCCUAAAGAGCUCCCAGCCUGAACCCUCUGAAGAAGCUCAUUGAGUACAUACUAAAACCACUAAAGACUAAAUUUGUUGGUGCUUGGGAACCAGACAUUGAAACUUUUUUUCCUUUGUUGUCCUAUUUAUUCCUUCUCUCCCAGCGACUUGGACUGGGCAGUAUUCGAACCAGAUCUCCUGGUCACCAGCUCUGUAGACACCUACAUCUACAUUUGGGACAUCAAGGACACAAGGAAACCUACUGUUGCAUUAUCUGCUGUAGGUAAGUCUGUAUAUCCCUUAGUGUGCCUUCAUUGCAUUCCUUCCUGUUCUUUCCUUCCCAUUUCUUCCUACACUCUGACCACCCACCCAUGUCCUGUGCCCCUCUAUGGUAGGGUGAAAAUGAAAGUCCCACAUUGUAAAGUGCUUGCUUCAUGCUGCUGCUUAACCCUAAUCUCUGCUUAGUUAUGAACUGCUUCAGUGAUUGUCAUCAUACAUCCAAUCUUGUUACAUAUUUACCUCCACCAACUGUCCCUCCACCACCCCAUCCCGUGUGAUUAUUUCAAAGCAAAACCUGGAUAUUUUACCAUUUGUUCAACAAAUAUUUUAAGUGAUUUUACAAAAGAAGAAUCUCUAAAAAGGAAAGUA